AGCGAACGCUGGCGGCAGGCUUAACACAUGCAAGUCGAGCGGGCACUUCGGUGUCAGCGGCAGACGGGUGAGUAACACGUGGGAACGUACCCUUCGGUUCGGAAUAACGCUGGGAAACUAGCGCUAAUACCGGAUACGCCCUUUUGGGGAAAGGUUUACUGCCGAAGGAUCGGCCCGCGUCUGAUUAGCUAGUUGGUGGGGUAAUGGCCUACCAAGGCGACGAUCAGUAGCUGGUCUGAGAGGAUGAUCAGCCACACUGGGACUGAGACACGGCCCAGACUCCUACGGGAGGCAGCAGUGGGGAAUAUUGGACAAUGGGCGCAAGCCUGAUCCAGCCAUGCCGCGUGAGUGAUGAAAGGCCUUAGGGUUGUAAAGCUCUUUUGUCCGGGACGAUAAUGAACGGUACCGGAAGAAUAAGCCCCGGCUAACUUCGUGCCAGCAGCCG
rnacentral:rRNA from 1 species